UACGGAGGGUGCAAGCAUUGAUCGGAAUUACUGGGCGUAAAGGGCGCGUAGGCGGCCAGAAAAGUCAGAUGUGAAAUUCCGGGGCUCAACCCCGGAGCUGCAUUUGAAACUUUCCGGCUUGAGGUUGGUAAGGGAAAACGGAAUUCCACGUGUAGCGGUGAAAUGCGUAGAUAUGUGGAAGAACACCGGUGGUGAAGACGGUUUUCUGUGCCAAACCUGACGCUGAGGCGCGAAAGCUAGGGGAGCAAACAGG
rnacentral:rRNA from 1 species